rnacentral:rRNA from 1 species
GGUUACUUACAUACCAUAAGAAUGUCCAAUCUCUUUUGAUCUCGGAAGCUUAGCAGGGCUGGGCCUGAUUAGCACCAGGAUGGGCGACUGCUGAGAAUACCAGGUGUCAUAG